rnacentral:tRNA from 1 species
GUGGUUGUGGGUCAGUGGUAGAGUGCUUGCCUAGUGUGUGGGAGGCAUUGGGUUCAAUUCUCAGCACCACA